UGUUUCGGCUAGGGGGCCAUCCCGGCUUACCAACCCGAUGCAAACUGCGAAUACCGGAGAAUGUUAUCACGGGAGACACACGGCGGGUGCUAACGUCCGUCGUGAAGAGGGAAACAACCCAGACCGCCAGCUAAGGUCCCAAAGUCAUGGUUAAGUGGGAAACGAUGUGGGAAGGCCCAGACAGCCAGGAUGUUGGCUUAGAAGCAGCCAUCAUUUAAAGAAAGCGUAAUAGCUCACUGGUCGAGUCGGCCUGCGCGGAAGAUGUAACGGGGCUAAACCAUGCACCGAAGCUGCGGCAGCGACACUAUGUGUUGUUGGGUAGGGGAGCGUUCUGUAAGCCUGCGAAGGUGGCCUGUGAGGGUUGCUGGAGGUAUCAGAAGUGCGAAUGCUGACAUAAGUAACGAUAAAGCGGGUGAAAAGCCCGCUCGCCGGAAGACCAAGGGUUCCUGUCCAACGUUAAUCGGGGCAGGGUGAGUCGACCCCUAAGGCGAGGCCGAAAGGCGUAGUCGAUGGGAAACGGGUUAAUAUUCCCGUACUUGGUGUUACUGCGAAGGGGGGACGGAGAAGGCUAUGUUGGCCGGGCGACGGUUGUCCCGGUUUAAGCGUGUAGGUGUGUGUUCCAGGUAAAUCCGGUUCACUUUAACACUGAGGCGUGACGACGAGGCACUACGGUGCUGAAGCAACAAAUGCCCUGCUUCCAGGAAAAGCCUCUAAGCAUCAGGUAACAUCAAAUCGUACCCCAAACCGACACAGGUGGUCAGGUAGAGAAUACCAAGGCGCUUGAGAGAACUCGGGUGAAGGAACUAGGCAAAAUGGUGCCGUAACUUCGGGAGAAGGCACGCUGACACGUAGGUGAAGUGAUUUACUCACGGAGCUGAAGUCAGUCGAAGAUACCAGCUGGCUGCAACUGUUUAUUAAAAACACAGCACUGUGCAAACACGAAAGUGGACGUAUACGGUGUGACGCCUGCCCGGUGCCGGAAGGUUAAUUGAUGGGGUCAGCGCAAGCGAAGCUCCUGAUCGAAGCCCCGGUAAACGGCGGCCGUAACUAUAACGGUCCUAAGGUAGCGAAAUUCCUUGUCGGGUAAGUUCCGACCUGCACGAAUGGCGUAAUGAUGGCCAGGCUGUCUCCACCCGAGACUCAGUGAAAUUGAACUCGCUGUGAAGAUGCAGUGUACCCGCGGCAAGACGGAAAGACCCCGUGAACCUUUACUAUAGCUUGACACUGAACAUUGAGCCUUGAUGUGUAGGAUAGGUGGGAGGCUUUGAAGCGUGGACGCCAGUCUGCGUGGAGCCGACCUUGAAAUACCACCCUUUAAUGUUUGAUGUUCUAACG
rnacentral:rRNA from 1 species